rnacentral:rRNA from 1 species
UACGUAGGGGGCAAGCGUUGUCCGGAAUCAUUGGGCGUAAAGAGCGCGCAGGCGGCUGGGCAAGUCCGAUGUGAAAGCUUCCGGCUUAACUGGAAAAUUGCAUCGGAAACUGCUCGGCUUGAAGGUGGGAGAGGGUAGCGGAAUUCCCGGUGUAGUGGUGAAAUGCGUAGAUAUCGGGAGGAACACCAGUGGCGAAGGCGGCUACCUGGCCCAUUCUUGACGCUGAGGCGCGAAAGCUAGGGGAGCAAACGGG